AAGUCCUUUAAAUUAACAUGUAUACGAGUGUUGCUAUUUGUUUUCCUCAGCCAGAAUAUAUUUUCUGUGUUUAUGCGCCGGCUCUCUCUUCCAGCGCUCACAUGAAAACAGAAGCGUCGUCAGCACUUCCUUCCUCCACACCAACACAGACCUCAGUGAAGGCUGAGAAUCCGAGGCUUGGGUGCAUAAACCCUUUGCCCUACAGUGAUCUACAGUGUCAACUGUCAGCAGCAGUUGCACUGUUAUUUAGAUGUUUUGACCAGUAUGGAUAAAUGGAGACUCGGGUUUGCUCUGCUUCUGCUCCUCACUUCCUGUAUGGACAACAAAGCUGGUACGGAGAUUCUUAUGAAAAUCAUUGACAAACAACCAGAUGUUACUCGAAUAUGCAGCAACGAAACGCUGAACGUGAUCAUGCUGAUAGUGUGUAAGAUCAGCACACAGAGGAGCAGAGGAGAAGAGUGCAGGCUGCUGUAUAAACAUGGACACAACUUUGAGCAUGGAUGUGACUCCAGGUUCACACUGAUGAAAGAAAAUCAGACUGUGUUUCUCCACCUGACAAAUGUAACAGCAGAGGACGGCGGGAGCUACACCUGUGAGUGUGUACAGACUGGAGGAACAUAUAAGCUCCAGCUCAUGUAACUGUGGAAGGCACUGAAAGCCAUGAAGUCACCACCAGUCCUACAGAAAUACAUUUUAAAUGGUCUUUCUAUGUUUUAAUUGGAGUGCUUGUAGUCUUAAUCAUAUCUGGAGUCAUCCUUGGAUUUAUAUACGUAACAAAAUGCAGCAGCAGAAGACGACAGCUGCCAAUAACCAGUCCUGAAAUAAUAACUGAUCCUGGAAACACAGAAGCGUACAUGGUAAAAUGUUGCACUUACUGCAUUUUUUAACUGCUUUUCAU